GACGGAGGAUGCAAGUGUUAUCCGGAAUCACUGGGCGUAAAGCGUCUGUAGGUGGUCAAAUAAGUCAACUGUUAAAUCUUGAGGCUCAACUUCAAAAUCGCAGUCGAAACUAUUAGACUAGAGUAUAGUAGGGGUAAAGGGAAUUUCCAGUGGAGCGGUGAAAUGCGUAGAGAUUGGAAAGAACACCGAUGGCGAAGGCACUUUACUGGGCUAUUACUAACACUCAGAGACGAAAGCUAGGGUAGCAAAUGGG
rnacentral:rRNA from 1 species